rnacentral:rRNA from 1 species
CAGGUGGUGCAUGGUUGUCGUCAGCUCGUGUCGUGAGAUGUUGGGUUAAGUCCCGCAACGAGCGCAACCCUUGUGUUUAGUUGCAAACAGGUCAAGCUGUGCACUCUAGACAGACUGCCGUGGACAACACGGAGGAAGGUGGGGAUGACGUCAAAUCAUCAUGCCCCUUAUGAUCUGGGCUACACACGUGCUACAAUGGCCGGUACAACGGGCAGCGAAGGAGCGAUCCGGAGCGAAUCCUAAAAAGCCGGUCCCAGUUCGGAUUGCAGGCUGAAACUCGCCUACAUGAAGUUGGAGUUGCUAGUAAUCGCGAAUCAGAAUGUCGCGGUGAAUGCGUUCCCGGGUCUU